CCGCAGGGAUCAUCGCCGCCAUCUCCGUCACCGGCAGGGAAAGGUGGAGCUCCUGGUCCUGGACCGGCUGGCUCGCCGUCCCAGCCUGGUGGAGCUCCCGCGCCGGCUAACUCGCCGUCAUCUCCGUCUCCGGCGUCAGGAGCGCCUGCGCCGGCGGGAUCUGGGUUGGGGCCGGCGCCGGCGGGAUCGGGGUUGGGGCCGGCUCCGGCGGAGUCGGGGUUGGGGCCGGCGGCCGGCGGGAUCGGGGUUGGAGCCGGCUCCUUCGGGUGUUUUACCUGGAUCGCCGUCAUCGUCGACGACGACGCCGGGAUCGCCUGGGUCUUCGACGCCCGGGAGUGGGACGCCGGCGGAUGCUAAUUCACCGCCGGCGCCGGGGGGGUCAUUGGCGGCGCCGUCAUGCAGCACCUCUGUUUCUUGAAGUCAGUGUUGACUGUGGUUUGGGUGUAUUUGUCUUGUCACCUUAAAUAUUUAGGUUCAUGAUUUGAUUAAGUUUUGGUAGGAAUAUUUUGGCAAAAUUUUUAUUAUUAUUAUACUACUAUUUGUCCGUGAUUCAGCCGAUUUUAUUUAUGAGAGAGUAAGGUUUGUAUACAUUCUCCCUUCUUCUUCUUUUUCUUUUUUUUUUUCUUUGUAAUUCUGGUUCCUUGUUUAAUUCAAAUAUAUUUGAUUAUGAUAUCUCGAAUAAUAUUCCGUCCAACUUUUUUAGGAUCAAUGUCUNCAACCCACUUGUCAGCGGGUUGGAUUAGCCCGACGGGCCUUUACCCAAAUUAAUAGCUUUAUUCCACAACUCAAUAUCUUUAUAUUUUCACUAAAUUUUAUAGACGAAAAAUGAUUUAAUAACUAAACGUAAGGCAUGAAAAUUUAAUGCAAAUACUUUUUUCAAUAUUGUAAAUGCAUUUUCUUAAUACGUGCGAAAGAGGGAUGCGUUUAUAUUUUUGUAUGGCAUGAAUAUAUGUAAAAUAUCUAUAUCAUUUUAUAUCAACGGUAUAGUCAAAGUCGCCUAAAAAAAAAAUCGGCCGAGAUAAGGUUAGCUCAAGCACUCUAACAAAGGAUUUUUUUUUUUCAAUCUUAUGAUUUUGAUUUUUUUUUAGUAAUAUUUUUGAAACUUGCCCCUAUUUUUUCAAAAGAAAGUGGAAAAUUUUGAGCUAGGCCUUUAUAUGUAGCAAUGCCCCCACUGCUUCAAAGUGUUAUAAAAUGGUCGUAGCUAGGUCGACCACCCUAAUUAAUAUUCACUCUCAAUCAGUUAUGAAUCCAUACCUUCCAAUCCAUGUUCCUAACCGUUGGGCUUACACGUAUUUUUUUCCAACCCAAAAUACGUUUCAAACUUUCAAUCAAUUAUAACACGUUGAUCAAUGUGUCAUCUUCUAGUGUAAUAUCAAAACGUAACAUAAAAAACAUUGAUUUUCUAAUUAUUUAAUUUUGACGAAAUAUAAUAUAGUAUUUCAGAAUAUGGAAUCCGGUACUAAAUAUGCGAAUCAGACAAGCACAACAGAGCACCUUAUUCCAUCCAAAAACAACAUAAAUACGUAAUUAAUUAGUAGAUAAAAGCAACGUUAUUAAUUUCUCGUAUUUCGCAACGGUAACAUAAAUCAACCCUUCUAUAUAAUUCCAUUGCCAUUCCACAUCUCUCCACACACGCACUGCACACACUAGCUACGUGUUUCAGGUUUCAGUCCCUUUCACAAUUAAAAUCAUCCUUCUUCAAUAAAUUGAUCGCCUAGUUAAAGAAAAUAAAGGUAAACAUAUAGCUUGAGAAAGAAAACUAAAACACCGCCAUGGCUGGUGAGCAGAGAGAUUGCCUUCUCUUUGUGGCGUUGUUUUGUUGUUUAGUACAUUUCUCGUAUUCUUACCAGUUCGUGGUCGGAGGUGGAGAUGGAUGGGUCGUCAAACCUUCCGAAGACUACAAUCAAUGGGCGUUCGAGGAUGCGGUUUCAAGUCAAUGACACCCUUCGUGAGCCUCUCUCUCUCUUCUCUCUCUCUCUCUCUCUCUACAUGCUCUCAUCAUUCACAUAUAUCGUUGUUUUCUUUAUUGUAGUGUUCAAAUACAAGAGCGGAUCGGAUUCGGUGUUAGUGGUGGACAAAAACGACUACGACAGCUGCAGCGUCGCGAAUCCUUUGCUCAAACUCGACGACGGGAAUUCCAUCUUCAAGUUCAACCGCUCCGGCCCCUUCUACUUCAUCAGCGGCAACAAGGCUAACUGCGAUCAGGGCCAGAAGCUCAUCGUCGUCGUUUUAGCCAUCAGAACCCCACCGUCGCCGCAGGGAUCAUCGCCGCCAUCUCCGUCCCGGCGGGAAAGGUGGAGCUCCUGGUCCUGGACCGGCUGGCUCGCCGUCCCAGCCUGGUGGAGCUCCCGCGCCGGCUAACUCGCCGUCAUCUCCGUCUCCGGCGUCAGGAGCGCCUGCGCCGGCGGGAUCGGGGUUGGGGCCGGCGCCGGCGGGAUCGGGGUUGGGGCCGGCUCCGGCGGAGUCGGGGUUGGGGCCGGCGCCGGCGGGAUCGGGGUUGGAGCCGGCUCCUUCGGGUGUUUUACCUGGAUCGCCGUCAUCGUCGACGACGACGCCGGGAUCGCCUGGGUCUUCGACGCCCGGGAGUGGGACGCCGGCGGAUGCUAAUUCACCGCCGGCGCCGGGGGGGUCAUUGGCGGCGCCGUCAUGCAGCACCUCUGUUUUCUUGAAGUCAGUGUUGACUGUGGGUUUGGGUGUAUUUGUCUUGUCACCUUAAAUAUUUAGGUUCAUGAUUUGAUUAAGUUUUGGUAGGAAUAUUUUGGCAAAAUUUUUAUUAUUAUUAUACUACUAUUUGUCCGUGAUUCAGCCGAUUUUAUUUAUGAGAGAGUAAGGUUUGUAUACAUUCUCCCUUCUUCUUCUUUUUCUUUUUUUUUUUCUUGAAUUCUGGUUCCUUGUUUAAUUCAAAUAUAUUUGAUUAUGAAUAUCUCGAAUAAUAUUCCGUCCAACUUUUUUUAGGAUCAAUGUCUUAAUU
rnacentral:lncRNA from 1 species